UACGGAGGGUGCAAGCGUUAUCCGGAUUUACUGGGUUUAAAGGGUGCGCAGGCGGAUAUAUAAGUCAGUGGUGAAAUCUCUAGGCUUAACCUGGAAAUUGCCGUUGAUACUAUAUAUCUUGAAUGUUGUGGAGGUAAGCAGAAUAUGUCAUGUAGCGGUGAAAUGCUUAGAUAUGACAUAGAAUACCUAUUGCGAAAGGCAGCUUACUACGCAGAUAUUGACGCUCAUGCACGAAAGCGUGGGGAUCAAACAGG
rnacentral:rRNA from 1 species